GACAGCUGCUCCAGGGAACAGAUUCUGGACAUCAUGAAACAGCAGCAACUUUGUGAAUGUUUUUUUCUUUCUUUUUUAACUUUCUGGGGUUACUGAGCACUUCGGGAGUCUGUUGGAAGCUAGAACAAACAACAAGAGAACAUCUGAGACAAAUUUUCAGGUUUUUGAGAUCAGGGCUAUGGCCAAAAAUGAAAAGAAUGUGAAGAAGACAUGAGAAGAUGAACACUGACAUUCUACCUAUGUGACUUUGUAAUAUUUCCUGUCUUCAUCCCCCAGAUCAAGUGAAGGAGGUAUGUUCAAUUGCUGACCAGAGUACAAAGAGAAGGCUGUUUCUUGUUCCACUAUUAGGAGCAAGCAAGUCUAUGACUAGGAUUUUUGUAAUCUUGUUAAUUUUCAUUUGAAGAAAAGGUAAAUUAUGUGGUUUUAUUUUUAAAAUAUGAUUUAAUGCAUUAUUGUCAUGAGAAUAUAAUGGACAAAAGAACAGUACACUAUUGUGAGAUUCUUAGGAAGAGCAGGAUACAAAUCAAACAAACAAUGGAACAAUUGUGUAAAUAGAUUUUAGGUAUAGGUAUUAGAUAGAUUGGUGUCACUUUAGAUCGAACACUAACAUAUAGGAAACACUGCAUGAACACCAAGCUCAAAGUAGCUGCAUGCAAUAACAUCCUGUGGAAACUUACUGGCAGCGUAUUUUGUGUGAAUGUAUUGUUUUAUGUAGUUUUGAAAUUUGUACUUAUAGUUUAAAGCUAAUUGACAGUGUGAGUCUGAAAUGCAGAAUGUAAUCCAGUAAUCCAGUAAUAUAAGAGUUAACUGCAUAGAGUAUAGAUUUAUGGCUAGAGGGAAGCAGUGAGAGAUUUCCAAUAGUAACAGGACAUUUGUCAUUGCUGUGGAAUGUGGGAGGUGACAGCAGCCUGCUUCCCAUGUGGUGACCGAUCGAGGUCGGAUGCACGAAUGCUAUGCUCCGGCAAGACUAUGUAAAUAUUGUAAAGUACUGCAAUAAAGAUAAAAGUCGCUGGUUUCAGAUGACAACCAGAAAGUGUGAAUUUAUUUCUGUGUGACUGAUCAGAUAGCCAGAUCGCUGGAGAAGGAGGUAAAUUGAGACAGGAGGUGAAUGAUUCUCAAUUUAACAAUUUCUUGAC
rnacentral:lncRNA from 11 species